rnacentral:rRNA from 1 species
UUAAGCGACUAAGCGUACACGGUGGAUGCCCUGGCAGUCAGAGGCGAUGAAGGACGUGCUAAUCUGCGAUAAGCGUCGGUAAGGUGAUAUGAACCGUUAUAACCGGCGAUUUCCGAAUGGGGAAACCCAGUGUGUUUCGACACACUAUCAUUAACUGAAUCCAUAGGUUAAUGAGGCGAACCGGGGGAACUGAAACAUCUAAGUACCCCGAGGAAAAGAAAUCAACCGAGAUUCCCCCAGUAGCGGCGAGCGAACGGGGAGGAGCCCAGAGCCUGAAUCAGUGUGUGUGUUAGUGGAAGCGUCUGGAAAGGCGCGCGAUACAGGGUGACAGCCCCGUACACAAAAAUGCACAUGCUGUGAGCUCGAUGAGUAGGGCGGGACACGUGGUAUCCUGUCUGAAUAUGGGGGGACCAUCCUCCAAGGCUAAAUACUCCUGACUGACCGAUAGUGAACCAGUACCGUGAGGGAAAGGCGAAAAGAACCCCGGCGAGGGGAGUGAAAAAGAACCUGAAACCGUGUACGUACAAGCAGUGGGAGCACGCUUAGGCGUGUGACUGCGUACCUUUUGUAUAAUGGGUCAGCGACUUAUAUUCUGUAGCAAGGUUAACCGAAUAGGGGAGCCGAAGGGAAACCGAGUCUUAACUGGGCGUUAAGUUGCAGGGUAUAGACCCGAAACCCGGUGAUCUAGCCAUGGGCAGGUUGAAGGUUGGGUAACACUAACUGGAGGACCGAACCGACUAAUGUUGAAAAAUUAGCGGAUGACUUGUGGCUGGGGGUGAAAGGCCAAUCAAACCGGGAGAUAGCUGGUUCUCCCCGAAAGCUAUUUAGGUAGCGCCUCGUGAAUUCAUCUCCGGGGGUAGAGCACUGUUUCGGCAAGGGGGUCAUCCCGACUUACCAACCCGAUGCAAACUGCGAAUACCGGAGAAUGUUAUCACGGGAGACACACGGCGGGUGCUAACGUCCGUCGUGAAGAGGGAAACAACCCAGACCGCCAGCUAAGGUCCCAAAGUCAUGGUUAAGUGGGAAACGAUGUGGGAAGGCCCAGACAGCCAGGAUGUUGGCUUAGAAGCAGCCAUCAUUUAAAGAAAGCGUAAUAGCUCACUGGUCGAGUCGGCCUGCGCGGAAGAUGUAACGGGGCUAAACCAUGCACCGAAGCUGCGGCAGCGACGCUUAUGCGUUGUUGGGUAGGGGAGCGUUCUGUAAGCCUGUGAAGGUGUGCUGUGAGGCAUGCUGGAGGUAUCAGAAGUGCGAAUGCUGACAUAAGUAACGAUAAAGCGGGUGAAAAGCCCGCUCGCCGGAAGACCAAGGGUUCCUGUCCAACGUUAAUCGGGGCAGGGUGAGUCGACCCCUAAGGCGAGGCCGAAAGGCGUAGUCGAUGGGAAACAGGUUAAUAUUCCUGUACUUGGUGUUACUGCGAAGGGGGGACGGAGAAGGCUAUGUUGGCCGGGCGACGGUUGUCCCGGUUUAAGCGUGUAGGCUGGUUUUCCAGGCAAAUCCGGAAAAUCAAGGCUGAGGCGUGAUGACGAGGCACUACGGUGCUGAAGCAACAAAUGCCCUGCUUCCAGGAAAAGCCUCUAAGCAUCAGGUAACAUCAAAUCGUACCCCAAACCGACACAGGUGGUCAGGUAGAGAAUACCAAGGCGCUUGAGAGAACUCGGGUGAAGGAACUAGGCAAAAUGGUGCCGUAACUUCGGGAGAAGGCACGCUGAUAUGUAGGUGAAGUCCCUCGCGGAUGGAGCUGAAAUCAGUCGAAGAUACCAGCUGGCUGCAACUGUUUAUUAAAAACACAGCACUGUGCAAACACGAAAGUGGACGUAUACGGUGUGACGCCUGCCCGGUGCCGGAAGGUUAAUUGAUGGGGUUAGCGCAAGCGAAGCUCUUGAUCGAAGCCCCGGUAAACGGCGGCCGUAACUAUAACGGUCCUAAGGUAGCGAAAUUCCUUGUCGGGUAAGUUCCGACCUGCACGAAUGGCGUAAUGAUGGCCAGGCUGUCUCCACCCGAGACUCAGUGAAAUUGAACUCGCUGUGAAGAUGCAGUGUACCCGCGGCAAGACGGAAAGACCCCGUGAACCUUUACUAUAGCUUGACACUGAACAUUGAGCCUUGAUGUGUAGGAUAGGUGGGAGGCUUGGAAGUGUGGACGCCAGUCUGCAUGGAGCCGACCUUGAAAUACCACCCUUUAAUGUUUGAUGUUCUAACGUUGACCCGUGAUCCGGGUUGCGGACAGUGUCUGGUGGGUAGUUUGACUGGGGCGGUCUCCUCCUAAAGAGUAACGGAGGAGCACGAAGGUUGGCUAAUCCUGGUCGGACAUCAGGAGGUUAGUGCAAUGGCAUAAGCCAGCUUGACUGCGAGCGUGACGGCGCGAGCAGGUGCGAAAGCAGGUCAUAGUGAUCCGGUGGUUCUGAAUGGAAGGGCCAUCGCUCAACGGAUAAAAGGUACUCCGGGGAUAACAGGCUGAUACCGCCCAAGAGUUCAUAUCGACGGCGGUGUUUGGCACCUCGAUGUCGGCUCAUCACAUCCUGGGGCUGAAGUAGGUCCCAAGGGUAUGGCUGUUCGCCAUUUAAAGUGGUACGCGAGCUGGGUUUAGAACGUCGUGAGACAGUUCGGUCCCUAUCUGCCGUGGGCGCUGGAGAACUGAGGGGGGCUGCUCCUAGUACGAGAGGACCGGAGUGGACGCAUCACUGGUGUUCGGGUUGUCAUGCCAAUGGCACUGCCCGGUAGCUAAAUGCGGAAGAGAUAAGUGCUGAAAGCAUCUAAGCACGAAACUUGCCCCGAGAUGAGUUCUCCCUGACUCCUUGAGAGUCCUGAAGGAACGUUGAAGACGACGACGUUGAUAGGCCGGGUGUGUAAGCGCAGCGAUGCGUUGAGCUAACCGGUACUAAUGAACCGUGAGGCUUAACCUU